rnacentral:sRNA from 1 species
CACAGCAGUAGAUUGGCUACUCGUUACGACGUCCUGUCGCGACGCCGAUCGACUGUACAUCCUGUACG